GGAGUUAGCUCAGUGGUAGAGCGCUUGCCUAGCAAGCGCAAGGCCCUGGGUUCGGUCCCCAGCUCCG
rfam:Rattus norvegicus chromosome 17, whole genome shotgun sequence.